rnacentral:rRNA from 1 species
UGGCGGGAGGGUGAGUAAUGUCUGGGAAACUGCCCGAUGGAGGGGGAUAACUACUGGAAACGGUAGCUAAUACCGCAUAACGUCGCAAGACCAAAGAGGGGGACCUUCGGGCCUCUUGCCAUCGGAUGUGCCCAGAUGGGAUUAGCUAGUAGGUGGGGUAACGGCUCACCUAGGCGACGAUCCCUAGCUGGUCCGAGAGGAUGACCAGCCACACUGGAACUGAGACACGGUCCAG